AGUUGGCAUGGCUCAGUCCAAGUCUGACCACCUGAGGAAUGCCUGGACUGAGCCGUGCUACUGG
rnacentral:pre_miRNA from 1 species